rnacentral:rRNA from 1 species
UGGGGAAUAUUGGACAAUGGGCGAAAGCCUGAUCCAGCCAUGCCGCGUGUGUGAAGAAGGUCUUCGGAUUGUAAAGCACUUUAAGUUGGGAGGAAGGGCAGUAAGCGAAUACCUUGCUGUUUUGACGUUACCGACAGAAUAAGCACCGGCUAACUCUGUGCCAGCAGCCGCGGUAAUACAGAGGGUGCAAGCGUUAAUCGGAUUUACUGGGCGUAAAGCGCGCGUAGGUGGUUCGUUAAGUUGAAUGUGAAAGCCCCGGGCUCAACCUGGGAACUGCAUCCAAAACUGGCGAGCUAGAGUAGGGCAGAGGGUGGUGGAAUUUCCUGUGUAGCGGUGAAAUGCGUAGAUAUAGGAAGGAACACAAGUGGCGAAGGCGACCACCUGGGCUCAUACUGACACUGAGGUGCGAAAGCGUGGGGAGCAAACAGG